GGGUAGCUUCUCAGCUCACAACCUCUACAGGAGGAUUCUCAGUGAGUCCUGAGGUGCAACACUGCCUGGUGAAGUCUUCCUCCACCAUAGUUUUCUGGAAAUCUCAGUGGGAAAGAACAUUGGCCAGCAUCUUGAUGGCAACUCCACUGAAAGAUCCUGAAACAAAGAUCUCAGUCUGCUUAUUGGUUUGAAUCAGACAACUGAAGAUUUCUCAGACUUUGCUCCACAGGACACUGACAUCCUUAUAAAUAUUUUAUUUAUUUAUUUGAGAUAGAGUGAGAGAGCAGAAA